UAGGUACCGGACUGGUAGGAAAAACCGCCAGUCAACGGGAAGGCGUGAUGCGUACCGAAAUCAAGUAGGGAAGUGUGUGAGCCAGCUGUCAAGAAAAGCCGCUAUUGCGUAUACAGUACCCGUACCGUAAACCGACACAGGUGGAUGAGGAGAGAAUCCUAAGGCCGGCGGAAGAAGUAUUGUCAAGGAACUCGGCAAAAUGACCCUGUAACUUCGGGAGAAAGGGUGCCUCGAAAGAGGCCGCAGAGAAUUGGCCCAAGCAACUGUUUAGCAAAAACACAGGUCUAUGCGAAACCGAAAGGUGAGGUAUAUGGGCUGACGCCUGCCCGGUGCUGGAAGGUUAAGGGGAGAUGUUAGAGCAAUCGAAGCAUUGAACUUAAGCCCCAGUAAACGGCGGCCGUAACGAUAACGGUCCUAAGGUAGCGAAAUUCCUUGUCGGGUAAGUUCCGACCCGCACGAAAGGCGUAAUGAUUUGGGCGCUGUCUCGACAAUACAUCCGGUGAAAUUGAAGUACCAGUGAAGAUGCUGGUUACCCGCGCCAGGACGGAAAGACCCCAUGGAGCUUUACUCCAGCUUGAUACUGGGAUUCGGUAUUGCAUGUACAGGAUAGGUGGGAGGCUAAGAAGCAUGGACGCCAGUCUAUGUGGAGCCGCUGUUGGGAUACCACCCUUGCGGUAUUGGAUUUCUAACCAGCCGCCGUGAAACCGGCGGUGGGACAAUGUCAGGCGGGGAGUUUGACUGGGGCGGUCGCCUCCGAAAGGGUAUCGGAGGCGCCCAAAGGUUCCCUCAGAAUGGUUGGAAACCAUUCGAAGAGUGCAAAGGCAGAAGGGAGCUUGACUGUGACACCGACGGGUGGAGCAGGUACGAAAGUAGGGCUUAGUGAUCCGGUGGUAUUAAGUGGGAAUGCCAUCGCUCAACGGAUAAAAGCUACCCUGGGAUAACAGGCUUAUCACUCCCAAGAGUUCACAUCGACGGAGUGGUUUGGCACCUCGAUGUCGGCUCAUCGCAUCCUGGGGCUGUAGUAGGUCCCAAGGGUUGGGCUGUUCGCCCAUUAAAGCGGUACGCGAGCUGGGUUCAGAACGUCGUGAGACAGUUCGGUCCCUAUCCGGCGUGGGCGCAGGAUAUUUGAGAGGAGCUGUCCUUAGUACGAGAGGACCGGGAUGGACUGACCUCUGGUGCACCGGUUGUUCCGCCAGGAGCAUAGCCGGGUAGCCAAGUCGGGAAGGGAUAAACGCUGAAGGCAUCUAAGCGUGAAGCCCCCCUCAAGAUGAGAUAUCCCAUGUGAAAGCGAUAAGACCCCUUGAAGACGACGAGGUAGAUAGGUCAGAGGUGGAAGCACAGCAAUGUGUGGAGCUGACUGAUACUAAUAGGUCGAAGGCUUAACCU
rnacentral:rRNA from 1 species